UCCGGUUUAUCACCGGCAGUCUUCUUAGAGUUCCCGCCAUUACGCGCUGGUAACUAAGAAUAAGGGUUGCGCUCGUUGCGGGACUUAACCCAACAUCUCACGACACGAGCUGACGACAGCCAUGCAGCACCUGUAUCCAGGUUCCCGAAGGCACGCUCUCAUUACAAGAGUUUUCCUGGUAUGUCAAGGGUAGGUAAGGUUCUUCGCGUAGCAUCGAAUUAAACCACAUACCCCACCGCUUGUGCGGGUCCCCGUCAAUUCCUUUGAGUUUUAAUCUUGCGACCGUACUUCCCAGGCGGAGAACUUAUCGCGUUAGCUUCGACACUGAAUCGCGUAGCGAUCCAACAUCUAGUUCUCAUCGUUUAGGGCGUGGACUAC
rnacentral:misc_RNA from 1 species